rnacentral:rRNA from 1 species
GACACUAGUACGAGAGGACCGUGUUGGACGAACCUCUGGUCUACGGGUUGUUCCGCCAGGAGCAUUGCCCGGUAGCUACGUUCGGUUAGGAUAAGUGCUGAAAGCAUCUAAGCACGAAGCCAUCUUCAAGAUUAGAUUUCUUUUGAGGGUCGUGGAAGACUACCACGUUGAUAGGUUACAGGUGUACAACAGAAAUGUAGAGCCGAGUAAUACUAAUUGCCCGAAAGCUUUUUUAAA